AUUUGAAAUCUGGCUUCGGCCCGAGUUGUAAUUUGCAGAGGAAGCUUUAGGCGCGGCACCUUCUGAGUCCCCUGGAACGGGGCGCCAUAGAGGGUGAGAGCCCCGUAUAGUUGGAUGCCUAGCCUGUGUAAAGCUCCUUCGACGAGUCGAGUAGUUUGGGAAUGCUGCUCAAAAUGGGAGGUAAAUUUCUUCUAAAGCUAAAUACCGGCCAGAGACCGAUAGCGCACAAGUAGAGUGAUCGAAAGAUGAAAAGCACUUUGAAAAGAGGGUUAAAUAGCACGUGAAAUUGUUGAAAGGGAAGCGCUUGUGACCAGACUUGCGCCGGGCGGAUCAUCCGGUGUUCUCACCGGUGCACUCCGCCCGGCUCAGGCCAGCAUCGGUUCUCGCGGGGGGAUAAAGGUCCUGGGAACGUAGCUCCUCCGGGAGUGUUAUAGCCCGGGGCGUAAUGCCCUCGCGGGGACCGAGGUUCGCGCAUCUGCAAGGAUGCUGGCGUAAUGGUCAUCAGCGACCCGUCUUGAAACACGGACCAAGGAGUCAAGGUUUUGCGCGAGUGUUUGGGUGUAAAACCCGCACGCGUAAUGAAAGUGAACGUAGGUGAGAGCUUCGGCGCAUCAUCGACCGAUCCUGAUGUUUUCGGAUGGAUUUGAGUAGGAGCGUUAAGCCUUGGACCCGAAAGAUGGUGAACUAUGCUUGGAUAGGGUGAAGCCAGAGGAAACUCUGGUGGAGGCUCGCAGCGGUUCUGACGUGCAAAUCGAUCGUCAAAUCUGAGCAU
rnacentral:rRNA from 1 species